CGCGAAUUCGCCCUUCGGGGUGCACCAGGCGCGAAAACUUUACAAUGCUGGCAACAGCGAUAAGGGGACCUCGAGUGCCAGGUUACAAAUCUGGCUGUCGUGAUGCCUAAAAAGCAUUGCAUAGCAAGGGCCGGGCAAGACCGGUGCCAGCCGCCGCGGUAACACCGGCGGCUCGAGUGGUAACCGUUAUUAUUGGGUCUAAAGGGUCUGUAGCCGGCCGGAUAUGUCUCUUGGGAAAUCUGGCAGCUUAACUGUCAGGCUUUCAGGAGAUACUGUCUGGCUCGAGGCCGGGAGAGGUGAGAGGUACUUCAGGGGUAGGGGUGAAAUCUUGUAAUCCUUGAAGGACCACCAGUGGCGAAGGCGUCUCACCAGAACGGACCUGACGGCAAGGGACGAAAGCUAGGGGCACGAACCGGAUUAGAUACCCGGGUAGUCCUAGCCGUAAACGAUACUCGCUAGGUGUCGGCCACGGUGCGACCGUUGUCGGUGCCGUAGGGAAGCCGUGAAGCGAGCCACCUGGGAAGUACGGCCGCAAGGCUGAAACUUAAAGGAAUUGGCGGGGGAGCAC
rnacentral:rRNA from 1 species